GGUUUUAGCUUUUAUAUUUUUCGGGUUCUGUACUGCUUUAGUGUGUAGUUCUGAACUUCACAUUAAGGGAUAGUUAGCUGUCGUCACAGAAUAGGUGGACAAAACAAUUCCUUCUAUAGCUGGAGGCCGAGGAAAAUUGAUCCAAAUCUCAGACCCAAAAGCAUAAACAACAGUGGACCGAAGAGAGGAAAACAAAAAGGAUGUGGCUUCCAAACCUAGAGCUAUAAUUGGACAAUUAACUCCAAUAUGCUAAUGGACUAGAACUUAAAAAGUGAGAGGUCUCGUGAUCGGUCAUCCAUUUUGUGACUAUUUAGGAUUGAUCUUGGGUGUAGCCCUGGCUGGGCUCUUGUGCUGCCCAAGGUGUAUCCAUUGAGGCCUUUUAAUAAAUACCUACUUUAUUCUUUACCUGCAUCUAGCCUCUGUUCUAGGUCAGCCUUCACAAGGCAUCAGUGGCUUCUGCCCCAGCCGGCAGCUGGCCAAUGUGGUGGCAGGCAUGCAGGAGCUGGCCCCGCUGCCGGCGCAGGAUCUGUGCCACAGGCACCUCACUGUCUUCUGUCACUGUGAUGGAGUCCUCGUCUGCACCGCCUGCAUGAGCAUCGUGCCCACCCCACUGUGCUGCUCGUGGAGGCUGCUCGCUGCUACAGGGAGUAUAAACCCCUUUUCCCUGCAGAAGCAGUUUGAAGCUUCCCAAAAAACCCUGCAAGAGGAGGACAAGUGACAUGCUGGGCUGACUGAGGCAGCAGAGGAGACAAGACAGGAGAUGCUGACUCGAGGCAGGGCUGACAAGCAGAAGCUGCAGGCCAUGCUGAAGGGGCUCUGCUGGGUGCUGAGUGACCAGGAAUCACAGUUUCUUUCCUGGUUCCAUUGCCUGUGCUGGAGGCUGGAGGAACAGCAACAUGGUGAAGCUGCCGAGAUGUCACGGAUCCAGCAAUGCCACGCAGAGCUCCAGGCCAAGUGCCAGCAACCAGAUGGUGACCUGCUAUGAGAUGUCUGAACCAUCUUGAACAGGUAUUGAAGCCAAAAGUAUCACCAGUUUUGGCCCGAAGCACUCCAUUUUUCGGAUCAUCUUCUCUCCCUGUGUUCUUUUCCUCUGGGAUUUUUGCUUUGGAGCUGGAGGGGGUUGAUGGUUAAUCCAAAACUUGGUGGUGAUGGGGGAAUCUUCCAUCGUAUCUUGCAGGAAUGGCAGCCUUGCCCACGUGAGUAAAGAUGUCCCAGUGGUUUUCUAGCAAUGAGGAAAGGAAAUUUGGCAUUAAACACCCCAAUUUACUCCUCUCGAGGUGCACAGAAAGGAAGGUACAGCCAUCACUGUUGAUGUCAGAGCUGGAAAUAGCUUGAGGAUUUUACUUGAAAAACCAACAUGCUGGUAGAGGCAGUGACAGUUUAAAGGUGCUCGGAGGGUAAAAACUGGGAAAAAAGGAAUUAAUUAAGCAAAAAUGCAGAUUGGCUGGAAAGUGAAAGCAUCACAGAUGCUCAUUUACUUAAAAGAAAAUCAGGAAUUUAUUCCUGAUUAGCCUUAAGGGAUAGAAGACUGAAGGUGGGAGGUGCAGAAUGCUGUUGAUGCUUAAUUAGCACCCAAAUUAGGACACUAAGUUGGGUGAUGCCCUGAUGAAGGGCAUUGUGUCUCCCAGCUCAGGUGGUCUUGCCUUCUCUGUGCAGCAGGGUGGAUAUGGGGAAGGCCCAGGGCGACAUCCAGAGAUAAAAAUCUUUGGGGUUGUCUUCUUUUUCCAAACUUCUCGGAGUGCUCUCUGGAGGAAGACUCAGAGGGAUAUGGAGAGGUGAGUCUGGCUUCAGGGACUUACUGAACUCCCAUUUGGGUUCAGUGCCUGGAGCUGCUACUCUGGUGCAAUUUUUGGAGGUGAUAUUCCAAUGCAUAGAGGCUCAUGAACAUCCCUCUCCCUGCCAGCAACCAUGACCCUGGAUCCAGCCCCAGCUCACCCCAAAUCCUGGUGUCACUGGAUGGCUGGACUGCAGGCUGCCAGGAAUCACCCCCAGCUCCUCUGCCCUCAGGAAUGGAGAGUUUUGAGUCUCUCUGCUGUGCUUUGGGUCAGCAGGACUUUGUGGGGAGCUGUCACUGGGCCAUGGAGGUUUGUCCUGCUCCUGAUGGGGCAUUGGAGAUUGGCUGGGGAAUUUGUGUCCCAUAAGAGCUGCUUUGGUCUCAGCCCCAAAUGUGGGGUUUGGGGCCGUGGGGCAGUGCUGGGGCAGCUGCAGGCUCUCACCUGGCCCAGCCCAUGUCUCUGCCCCACAGCCACACUGUCCAACACAUGGAGGUGGCUGUGGAUUAUGCUGGCGGGCGGGUGGCUUUCUGUGAUGCUGAUAGUCAGACUGAAGUCUUUGCCUUUCCCCCGCCCACUUUCACAGGUGAAUGACUCUGGCCACUGCUCUGGCUGGGCAAGGGGCCAGCUUUGCUCACACUCUGUCCCUGAUUUCCCCAAAAAUCCACUCUGAACCCUGCAGGUGCAAACACUUCCACCACCCCAGCAAACACUCCACUCAACAACAAACAGCCCCCACUCUUCCCCCAGACCCAUUUCAUUUUCCUUAUAACAUCUAAUUUAACAAUCAUAUUUCUCUCUUUUGCUUCUCAGUGGGAGAACAGAGGUAUUUCCAGUUCCUCAGCUGUUUGUCUGUAGAAGCAUGGACCAGAGAAACAGGGAGAAUGUCCCUAAAAGCUUUCCAAAACUCAUCUUGAGGAAGAAAAUGGGCUUUGCUCAUGCUGCUAGAUGUCUCAUAAUAAGGUUUUGCAAGUGGAAACUUUUCUGCUUAGGAUUUGCAGAGAAUUUGGAGGAAGUGGGUUAAAACCAUGUUUUAUGUCUCUGAGGAUCACUCAGGAUUGGGCCUUUUCAGGGCUUUGUAUUCACUGCCAGGAUGUAAGCAGGAAGAGAGGCCACAAACAGAAUUUCAUCCCCCAUUUCAUUGCCUGCAAGUGAAUAGAAGGGGACCAAAACUAAAUGAACCAGUAUCUUGAAGCAGCAGAAGGUUGUUGUUAGGGUUCAACCAUGGAAUAAAGUGCUGUUAUCAGCAAGCCCAGACAGGACUGGGCAGGUCUCUGCCUCUUGCAGUCCCAGUCUCUCCUUUGCUGCAGAAUUGCCUCCCCAUCCACAUGCAGUCUUCAGCUUAGUUUGAGGAAGAGGAGAAACUAUCAGGAAAGGCAGAAACUUUUACCUUUGGGACCUGAAUUUUAGACAAGGGUCCUGACAAAACCCAGGUCACAGCUAAACACACAUUACAGCCCUGCUCAGUUUUGUAAUUAGUUUUUUCCCUCUUUGGGUCAUGGUGAAAUUGUCUUUCCUUGAAAGACAAGGUCCAGUGUAAAGCAAAACACUUCUUUGCAGCAUCCUGCUCCAACAGAUGAGCUUGCAACACUCCAUCCACUUUUUGUCUGAGAAACUUUUUGGAUAUUUAAUUUGGAAGUCCGUACAAAAAAACCCCAAACCUCCUGCCUUUUUAUGUAACUCACUAGCCCCACAGCUGGCUCUCUGGCAUUGUGGUGGCAAGGAAAUCAGCCUCUUUUUGCUCCAGGGCAGCUCAACAGCAUCCUGUCAGCAGAUGGGAGGGCAGAUGGUGGGGUGUGGAGGGUGCACAGCCCCCACUCCUUGAGCAGAGCCCGCAGAUGCACCUUGCAGCCCUGCCACAUGGAUCCUUGGACCCCAAAACCCUCCUGAGUGACAGGCACGCCUCAUACCAGCCCAUGAAAGAGGGGAGUACCUGAAGGGGUUUUUUUUCCCCACGGGAAAGUUUUUUCCACAAAGCUGGAGCCAAGGGUGCAUUUUGAAGGAAUUUGGGGCUUGAGGGUGAACAUUCCUGGGGGGAGUUUUAGCCAUUGCCUCCUGCUUCUCCCCAUGCUGCUCCUCUUCCACUAACACCUCAGGAUCACACCGAGUAGGAACUGUACAUCCAAGGGAGGUGCAGCAGGCAUGGAGGGGCAAACCUGAGUGAGGACUUCGGGCCUCCACGAUGGUGAGGGUGUUAAUCUUCUCCUGCUCCUCACUGAGGUCCAUUGUAAGUGAAAGGAGAUGCAUUUAGGGGGUGGGUUUACAACUGUUCAACUUUUUUAUCAACUGCUAAUAAUUUGUUGGUGCUGAUGGGUGCUUAUAAAAAUGGAGAUCAAAAGGCAAUUUUAAAAAUCAGCAGCUUGUUAAAUCCGUAAGGCAGAAAAUACAUCUCUAGUGCAACCAGGGGAGGGGUCUGUGUUUUUAAUCAUCUGGUUUUGGGUAUGUGUGCUCCAUUUUGGGCCUUCUCCCCAAGGGAGCAGCUGGCGCCGCGGGAGAUGGGGAUUUUCCACCUCAAAACACUGCCCACAGGGAAGAAAUCUCCAAAUUAGAGAGGAACUUGUUAAAGAAAUGGUGGCCUCUGCACUGCUGCCUUGAGGAGAAAGUGCUCCCCAACCCAUUUGUUUUUGUUGGGGGUUGAUAAACACCCCAUGCCUUUGUUUUUGAGACUGUCCCCUUUUAAGUGAAAAUAAGACUUAUUUUUAUCAGCACUAGCAGUGGACAUGGGGAAGAAACAGCUCCAGAAGUAUCCCUAAACCCUUCCAGAAUUAACCUAUAUGCUGCUUGGGGGGGAGUGGAGGUUUAAAUUUUUCAUGUGUCACCGGUUUGCUGGUUUGGCAAUU